AGAGUUUGAUCAUGGCUCAGGGUAAACGCUGGCGGCGUGCCUAAAACAUGCAAGUCGAACGGGCAGUCUUCGGAUUGUCAGUGGCAGACGGCUGAGUAACGCGUGGGUGACGUACCUAUCGGUGGGGAAUAACUGCCCGAAAGGGUGGCUAAUACCGCAUACGUCCACUGCUUCGUGGCGGUGGGGAAAAUCGCAAGAUGCCGAUGGAGCGGCCCGCGUUCGAUUAGCUGGUUGGUGGGGUAACGGCCUACCAAGGCGACGAUCGAUAGCUGGUCUCAGAGGAUGAUCAGCCAGACUGGGACUGAGACACGGCCCAGACUCCUACGGGAGGCAGCAGUUAGGAAUUUUGGGCAAUGGGCGCAAGCCUGACCCAGCAACGCCGCGUGGGUGACGAAGGCCUUCGGGUUGUAAAGCCCUUUUCUGAGGGAAGAUGAUGACGGUACCUCAGGAAGAAGCACCGGCUAACUACGUGCCAGCAGCCGCGGUAAUACGUAGGGUGCGAGCGUUGCCCGGAUUUAUUGGGCGUAAAGGGCGCGUAGGCGGUCACGCACGUCCGUUGUGAAAUCGCUCGGCUCAACUGGGCGGGGUCAGCGGAUACGGCGUGGCUGGAGCAAGCUAGGGGGCAAUGGAAUUCCCGGUGUAGUGGUGGAAUGCGUAGAUAUCGGGAGGAACACCAGUGGCGAAGGCGGUUGCCUGGACUUNNCUGACGCUGAUGCGCGAAAGCGUGGGGAGCGAUCCGGAUUAGAUACCCUAGUAGUCC
rnacentral:rRNA from 1 species